GCCUGGAUAGCUCAGUUGGUACAGCACGAGACUCUUAAUCUCAGGAUCCUGGGUUUGAGCCCUAUGCUGGUCA